AUCUAAACCCGAUGGCAGUGAGCAUGAAGCGCAGCGAAAUAAAAUGGACAGCGGGACUUUCG
rnacentral:misc_RNA from 1 species